ensembl:miRNA
AGUGCUUGGUUCCUAGUAGGUGUUCAGUAAGUGUUUGUGACAUAAUUCGUUUAUUGAGCACCUCCUAUCAAUCAAGCACUGUGCUAGGUUCUGG